rnacentral:rRNA from 1 species
GUUAUAUGGUCAAGCGAAUAAGCGCACACGGUGGAUGCCUAGGCGGUCAGAGGCGAUGAAGGACGUGGUAGCCUGCGAAAAGUGUCGGGGAGCUGGCAACAAGCUUUGAUCCGGCAAUAUCCGAAUGGGGAAACCCACUGCUUCGGCAGUAUCCUGCAGUGAAUUCAUAGCUGCUGGAAGCGAACCCGGUGAACUGAAAUAUCUAAGUAACCGGAGGAAAAGAAAUCAACCGAGAUUCCCUAAGUAGUGACGAGCGAACGGGGAGCAGCCCUUAAGCUGGAAUGGCUUUAGAAAAACAAUCUGGAAAGAUUGGCCAUAGAAGGUGAUAGCCCUGUAUUUAAAAGGGCCACUCCAGUGAAGACGAGUAGGGCGGGGCACGUGAAACCCUGUCUGAAUAUGGGGGGACCAUCCUCCAAGGCUAAAUACUCCUGACCGACCGAUAGUGAACCAGUACCGUGAGGGAAAGGCGAAAAGAACCCCGGAGAGGGGAGUGAAAUAGAUCCUGAAACCGUGUGCGUACAAGCAGUAGGAGCUCGCAAGAGUGACUGCGUACCUUUUGUAUAAUGGGUCAGCGACUUACUGUUCGUGGCAAGCUUAACCGUAUAGGGGAGGCGAAGGGAAACCGAGUCUGAUAAGGGCGCAUAGUCGCGGGCAGUAGACCCGAAACCGGGUGAUCUAGUCAUGGCCAGGGUGAAGGUGCCGUAACAGGUACUGGAGGCCCGAACCCACGUCUGUUGCAAAAGACGGGGAUGAGCUGUGAUUAGGAGUGAAAAGCUAAUCGAACCCGGAGAUAGCUGGUUCUCCUCGAAAGCUAUUUAGGUAGCGCCUCGGACGAAUACUACUGGGGGUAGAGCACUGUUAUGGCUAGGGGGUCAUCGCGACUUACCAAACCAUUGCAAACUCCGAAUACCAGUACGUACUAUCCGGGAGACACACGGCGGGUGCUAACGUCCGUCGUGAAAAGGGAAACAACCCAGACCCACAGCUAAGGUCCCAAAUUCACUGCUAAGUGGAAAACGAUGUGGAAAGGCAUAGACAGCCAGGAGGUUGGCUUAGAAGCAGCCACCCUUUAAAGAAAGCGUAAUAGCUCACUGGUCGAGUCGGUCUGCGCGGAAGAUUUAACGGGGCUAAGCAGUGAACCGAAGCUUGGGGUGCAUAAAAC